CGCGUCAAUAAUCACGUGUGGAGAUGAACCUCAGCUCUCGGCGUAGGCGUUGCGUCAUUGCGCAAACUGGCGCAGUUGGAUGAACAAGCCCCGCGCAUGGGAUCAGUUGGUCGUGACAGUUUUUUUUUGUUGUUUUGCAAUUACCGGCUCGACGCGACAGCAAACAAAGGCGUUCCUACUGACGACGAUGGUGGAUAAUAUUUCGCUUAGUUUGCGGCUUCAGCUUUCCAAACCGACUCCCGAGUCGGUCGGGCCGGAUCGCUCAAGGUAUGCGCAUAAAUCGAACGCAUGGGCUACGUGAUCGUGUGCAUGUAGCAGAGUUACCGGGUACACUCCAGCCUUUUCGCAACGUCUUUGCGCGUCUGUGACGAAUUGGUAAUAUAAACGAAGCGCAAGAGGAGCACGUGAACAUGGAGAGUUUUUUUUUUAAAUAAACAAAGAACAAACAGUAA